GCCGAGGUGGCGGAACGGUAGACGCGGCGGACUUAAAAUCCGCUACCCUUGCGGGUGUGUAGGUUCGAGUCCUAUCCUCGGCACCA
rnacentral:tRNA from 1 species